rnacentral:rRNA from 1 species
AACGAACGCUGGCGGCAGGCUUAACACAUGCAAGUCGAGCGCCCCGCAAGGGGAGCGGCAGACGGGUGAGUAACGCGUGGGAAUCUACCGAGCCCUACGGAAUAACGCAUGGAAACUGGAGCUAAUACCGUAUACGCCCUUAGGGGGAAAGAUUUAUCGGGGCUGGAUGAGCCCGCGUUGGAUUAGCUAGUUGGUGGGGUAAAGGCCUACCAAGGCGACGAUCCAUAGCUGGUCUGAGAGGAUGAUCAGACACAUUGGGCCUGAGACACGGCACAAACUCCUACGGGAGGCAGGAGUGGGGAAUAUUGGACAAUGGGCGCAAGCCUGAUCCAGCCAUGCCGCGUGAGUGAUGAAGGCCUUAGGGUUGUAAAGCUCUUUCACCGAUGAAGAUAAUGACGGUAGUCGGAGAAGAAGCCCCGGCUAACUUCGUGCCAGCAGCCGCCGUAAUAC